GCCACUUCCUGAUGACAAAACUCAAUUUUACAAUCAGCUGACUCUGAAGAGCCUCACAGAAGAACAGAGGAAAUCUCACAGCCAUGCUUUUAAAGUCUGCAAGACCUUCAAGGAUAUCCUGUGUGUUGAGCUGAUCUCGGAUCAGUCUCUGGUGGUGGUUGAGCGCCCUCUAGAGGACGUCGCCACUCAGUUGCCUGCACCCAUCAAACAAAAGAAAUUUGCCACAUAAGGAUGAACCUCUCCAUCUGUAUGUGUGUGGCCUCAGUGAGGAAGUGUGUUUUUAUUAAGAGACUGAAAAUUGUUCCCCGUUUCCCCCAAUGUAAAAACUGCUGUGACCGUAUUAAAAAUAAAUAUUUACUGUA